UGCCCAGCAAUUCCUAUCCCUAUCUCCUCGUGGUACCGGCCGGAAGCUAUGAGCAACCAUAGGGAUGAUCGGGUAACCAACCCGGUGGGUCGUAGGCUGACAGAGAAGG
rnacentral:ribozyme from 1 species